UACGGGGGGGGGCAAGCGUUGUUCGGAAUUACUGGGCGUAAAGGGCUCGUAGGCGGCCAACUAAGUCAGACGUGAAAUCCCUCAGCUUAACCGGGGAACUGCGUCUGAUACUGGAUGGCUUGAGUGUGGGAGAGGGAUGCGGAAUUCCAGGUGUAGCGGUGAAAUGCGUAGAUAUCUGGAGGAACACCGGUGGCGAAGGCGGCAUCCUGGACCGACACUGACACUGAGGAGCGAAAGCUAGGGGAGCAAACGGG
rnacentral:rRNA from 1 species